AUCCAGCUGACCAAUCCCAAAUAGGCCGGAACGCGCGUCCUGGAU
rfam:Schistosoma mansoni strain Puerto Rico chromosome 4, complete genome